CAGUUCACAUCCCAGGCUGUGGAGACUACAAGAUAAAGGACAUCAGCUUUUUGCCUGACCCUUGCCCACUGCCAGACCACUUGAAGAAGAGAGCCUUGAACGCCAAGGAAAGACUGACCUAUGCACCUCUGUCUGGUGUGGGCGGGGUGGUGUAUGACAAAGAUGCAGUGUACAUUGAUCUUGGAGGCUCACAUCAUGGAAAAAAAGGACAAAAGGUAGUCGCUGAGAGUGAGGAUGAGGAUGAUGUGUUCCAACCACUGCUAGACUUGCAGAAGACAACAGAUGAAAAACAAGCCCAGAGUCAGAUACAGCUUUU